rnacentral:sRNA from 1 species
CUGGCCAGGUCAUGGAAAGACCCUGGUAGUGGGCAGGAUGCCUGAAUUCUGUCUCCUGGUAUUUUUCCAGAAAUGGUAGAGAGAGGGGCGCACAUGACAGUAGUUUUAUCUCUCCCUGAGGUUCCUGUAUCCCUGGGAGAUAUUAUACCACCUUCCUUAGAGGAAAAUGAGGUCCAAAGUGUGAACCUACUUUUGGAAAGCAAGCUGGGUAUCUGAAAUCCUAGUCCUCAUUUUGUUAACCUUAUCUUGCAGAGUAAAGGUGGGAUUCUAUCCAAAGCUUGUGAUUAUAUCCAGGAGCUUCGGCAGAGUAACCACCGCUUGUCUGAAGAACUGCAGGGACUUGACCAGCUGCAGCUGGACAAUGACGUGCUUCGACAACAGGUGGAAGAUCUUAAAAACAAGAAUCUGCUGCUUCGAGCUCAGUUGCGGCACCACGGAUUAGAGGUCGUCAUCAAGAAUGACAGCAACUAACUAUGGGGAUUCAGGGGCUUUGGGCCCAAGAACUGCAGAUAGCCCAGGAGCAACAGCCUAAUCCCGUGCCCCUUCCUUCACUGCCCCACUUCUGGCAUGGGACAGGGGGAAGUUCAGAAGGUGUGUCCUUGAACUGAGGCCCUGUGAUAUGGCAGCCUGCAGUGGUGUGAAACACACAAUGUGGACGUGCACUGACAGCCUUGCCCACACCCACCAUGCAGCCCCUGGGCCCUUGUGCUCCUCUUGCACACUGCAUGUGCUGUCUCCGUGCUGGAUACUGGACACACUAAACUGGGGGGCUUGUCCUGUGCUUGCUUAGAGUGCCCAGCAGAGGUCUGCUGACAGGUGAUGCUCUGGCUUGCCCCAGGACUCUGGCACUUCCAUUGGUUCUUCCUUUCCCUGGAGCUGAGGUUUAGAUGUGCACCCUGCGGCUCAGGGGAGCAAGCUUACACAAGAAGUGGGGGAAGGAUGUUUAGCAGUGGCUGGUGCCCAUGAAGAGGAGAUUGGCCAGCGAGAAGCUGAGGCCUAUGCAGACAUCUCUGGAGCCAGAGAGAACAACAGGCAGGGGCCCACUUGGGGCCUUCCCCCUUGUGGGGGUCGUUUUUUUUC